GCUGGCGCCCCAAAGAGGUUACAAGACUGCCCAAGGUCAUAUACAUCUAUCUUGUAGCUUCCUGUGGGAGAAGCUGUCCAUGAUCAGGAGAGUGCUGUGAGGAGGCAAUGCCAAGAUUUACAGGAUUCGGGAUUCCUAAUUGAAUCGUCUGAGCGUGGAGAGUGCUUGCUCUGGGAAUCUUCAGAGGCGGGAGAGUGGUUUGUCAGUGUCAAGUGUCUGGUGUGGCUCUGUGGACUGGGGCUGUGGGCUCGACUGUGAUCGCUCAUUGCCUUCAGGGUAUGCACUGUUCUAAUACAAGAAACAUUUCACAAGGAAAAGAAACAACUCAAACUUGGACUGGUGGCAGGUGGAGCCCCUGCCAGGCUGACUCUGAGGGGAGGGGUGGGUGUUUUAGAGAGUUGCAAUAGAGGUAAGGACUCAAAGUUCUGGGGAGCUUUAGCCUUGGCAUGCUAAAUUCUGGCUGUGUGAUCUUUCAUAAGUUAACAAGCUUCUCUAAGGCUUA